rnacentral:rRNA from 1 species
AGACCCGAAACCCGGUGAUCUAGCCAUGGGCAGGUUGAAGGUUGGGUAACACUAACUGGAGGACCGAACCGACUAAUGUUGAAAAAUUAGCGGAUGACCUGUGGCUGGGGGUGAAAGGCCAAUCAAACCGGGAGAUAGCUGGUUCUCCCCGAAAGCUAUUUAGGUAGCGCCUCGUGAAUUCAUCUCCGGGGGUAGAGCACUGUUUCGGCUAGGGGGCCAUCCCGGCUUACCAACCCGAUGCAAACUGCGAAUACCGGAGAAUGUUAUCACGGGAGACACACGGCGGGUGCUAACGUCCGUCGUGAAGAGGGAAACAACCCAGACCGCCAGCUAAGGUCCCAAAGUCAUGGUUAAGUGGGAAACGAUGUGGGAAGGCCCAGACAGCCAGGAUGUUGGCUUAGAAGCAGCCAUCAUUUAAAGAAAGCGUAAUAGCUCACUGGUCGAGUCGGCCUGCGCGGAAGAUGUAACGGGGCUAAACCAUGCACCGAAGCUGCGGCAGCGAACGUAUCACCCAAGACAACUUUACGGAGUUGACGAUUGACGGAGCGAAGCGACGUCAAAGCGUUCAUUAAAGUCAAGUUGGCUUAGGGAUACGUUCGUUGGGUAGGGGAGCGUUCUGUAAGCCUGUGAAGGUGUGUCGUGAGGCAUGCUGGAGGU